AGUUUCCCAUUCCCAAGUUUCCAUCCCCAUUCCCAGUUCCUGUUCCCAAUUCUCCAUUCCCACAUUUCCAUCCCCAUUCCCAGUUCCCAUUCCCAUUCCCAUUUCCAUUCCCACUUUCCCAUUGCCACUUUCCCAUACCCAUUCCCAGUUUUCCAUCCCCACCUUUCCAUCCCCAUUCCCAGUUUUUCAUCCCCAUCCCCACUCCCCGUCCCCAUUCCCAAUUCCCCAUUCCCACAUUUCCCUCCCCAUUCCCAAUUCCCCAUUCCCACAUCCCCAAUCCCAUCCCCAUUCCCAGUUCCCAUUCCCAAUUCCCCAUUCCCAGUUUUCCAUUCCCAUCCCCAUUCCCAGUCCCCAUUCCCAAUUCCCCAUUCCCACAUUUCCAUCCCCAUUCCCAGUUCCCAUUCCCAAUUCCCCAUUCCCAGCUUACCAUCCCCAUCCCCAUUCCCAGUUUCCCAUUCCCAAGUUUCCAUCCCCAUUCCCAUCCCCAUUCCCAAUUCCCCAUUCCCAAUUCCCCAUUCCCACCUUUCCCUCCCCAUUCCCAAUUCCCCAUUCCCACAUUUCCAUCCCAAAUCCCAUCCCCAUUCCCAUCCCCAUUCCCAGUUUUCCAUCCCCAUCCCCAUUCCCAGUCCCCAUUCCCAAUUCCCCAUUCCCACAUUUCCAUCCCCAUUUCCCGCAGGCAUUCCGGGUGCUGCCGGAGCCGGGCUUGGCGCCAUUGCCAGACCCGCAGGACCCCCAGCAUUCCCAGGACCCCNAUGGGAAUAACGGGAAUAACGGGGAUAACGGGGAUGGGAAUGGUGGGAAUGGGGAUGGGAAUGGGGGAAUGGGAAUGGGGAUGGGAAUGGGAAUGGGAAUGGGAAUGGUGAGAGUGGGAAAUGGGAAUGGGAAUGGGGCUGGGAAUGGUGAGAGUGGGGAAUGGGGAUGGGAAAUGGGGAAUGGGAAUGGUGGGAAUGGGAAUGGGAAUGGUGAGAGUGGGAAAUGGGAAUGGGGAAUGGGAAUGGUGGGAAUGGGAAUGGGGAUGGUGGGAAUGGGAAUGGGGGAAUGGGAAUGGGAAUGGUGGGAAUGGGGAGAAUGGGAAUGGGAAAUGGGAGUGGGAAUGGGAAAUGGGAAUGGGAGUGGGAAUGGUGGGAAUGGGGAAUGGGAAUGGUGGGAAUGGUGGGAAUGGGAAUGGUGGGAAUGGGAAUGGGAAUGGUGGGAAUGGGGAAUGGGAAUGGGAACGGGGAUGGGAGUGGGAAUGGGAAUGGUGGGAAUGGGGAUGAGGAUGGGAAUGAUGGGAAUGGGAGUGGGAAUGGGAGUGGGAAUGGGAAUGGGAAUGGGAAUGGUGGGAAUGGGAAUGGUGGGAAUGGUGGGAAUGGGAAUGGUGGGAAUGGGAACAGCAAUGGGAAAUUGGGAUGGAAAAGUGGGAAUGGGGAAUGAAGGGAAUGGGGAUGGGAAACGGGAGUGGGCGAAUUCCAGGAAUUCUGGGAAUGAAGGAACAGGGGGUGUGGGAAUUGUGAGAAGGGUGGGAAUUGUGGGAAUGGGGAAAUGUGGGAAUGAGGGAAUGCUGGGAAUGGCAGGAGAAAUCCCUGCCCAGGAUUCCAUGGCAUUCCCUCUUGGGAUUCUUCCCUGGAAUUCCUUCCUGGGUUUUUUUUUCCUGGGAUUCCACCUUGGGAUGUGCAUCCCCCAGUCCAGGAAUCCUGGGAUCUCCA
ensembl:lncRNA